rnacentral:ncRNA from 1 species
UUUAAACCGUUGAAAAGGACAGUAGGAUAAAAGUCUUAUCGACAGAGAAGAUUGUUAUAAGCUGAGAGCAAUCUAGAUUAAGUUUUAUCUGAAAACUACCUUGGAGGGAUUCUUAGUAGUUAAUUAUUGAUUAAUGAAAUGAAUACGGUGAUUCCGUUAUAAUCAUAAGAGAGGCUGUAUUUACUAAAUAUGGCAACUUGGGUGGAACCGCGUUUAUUAACGUCCCUUGU